CGCAACCCUUGUCCUUAGUUACCAGCACGUUAUGGUGGGCGACUCUAAGGAGACUGCCGGUGACAAACCGGAGGAAGGUGGGGAUGACGUCAAGUCAUCAUGGCCCUUACGGCCUGGGCUACACACGUGCUACAAUGGUCGGUACAAAGGGUUGCCAAGCCGCGAGGUGGAGCUAAUCCCAUAAAACCGAUCGUAGUCCGGAUCGCAGUCUGCAACUCGACUGCGUGAAGUCGGAAUCGCCAGUAAUCGUGAAUCAGAAUGUCACGGUGAAUACGUUCCCGGGCCUU
rnacentral:rRNA from 1 species